rnacentral:rRNA from 1 species
GUGCACCAGGCGAGAAUCCUCCACAAUGCGGGAAACCGUGAUGGGGGAAUCCGAGUGCCCGUUGGCUAAUGCUGGCGGGCUUUUCUCAAGCGUAAAAGGACUUGAGGAAUAAGGACUGGGUAAGACCGGUGCCAGCCGCUGCGGUAACACCGGCGGUCCAACUGGUGAUCGGCAUUACUGGGCCUAAAGCGUCCGUAGCCGGAUGGUUGGAUUCUGAGUGAAAUUUCCCAGCUCAACUGGGAAGCGUGCUUGGGAACACCCGCCAUCUUGGGACCGGGAGAGGUA